UUUCGCAUUUGGCUUGUUAUCAACAAUCGCAUUACCGACCGCGUGCAAUAAGUGCGUUUUACCUAAGCCCGUACCACCAUA
rnacentral:antisense_RNA from 1 species